CUGCCCUGGGUUACAGGGCUGUGUCAUAGAGAGUCAGGCCGGAGGAGAGAGAAGACGAGGGUGACGAGCACGGGGAGCCGAGCCGCAGGAGGUGCAGGACUCUGCAAGAAACUCGCAGAGCUCUCAGGUCGCCCACCACCUCAGCAGCCUGACUCAGCGCGUUGUGCCUGAAUACCAAACUGAGACCUUGGAUCAGAGCACAGAGCUGAAUGCUGUGUGGUUGGAAGAUUACUGUAGUGAUCCUAACCAGAAGACUAUUGUACGAUCGAGGAGCUAGUGAUCCACGUAACAGUUUUAACCUGAGAAGGUGCAGGCCUGAGCUGUGCUAUGCUGCACGUUCAGCUUCGCCUUCCAGCCUGCGUUGUGCUGUGCAUAUCCCUUGCUAAUAAAAUAAACUUAGCUGGCUAACUGUAACAAAGGAGCCUGUAGGCAGCUCCCACUUAGCACUGGUGAUUAUAGCAUUUGCAUGUCUUUAUCGUGAAGUGAAGCAUAUGAACACCCUUUUGUUUGAUGACAGAAAUUAUGAAUAGAAUUAUUUUCUUCUAAGAAAAUCCAGUAAGAGCUCUAAAGAUCAAGACGUUGGUGGAACCUCCCUACAGAGGGGAUCUGCACGAUAUGCUGUGCAUUGAUUGAAGGUCCCUCUGGUUCUGUGCAAAUCAGAGCUUCCAGCAUCUGAAGGACACAGAACUAUCCAUACUAACCGUGUUUUCCUUCUGGCGUUAAGUUCAAUAAAUGGAAUUUUAAUCAAUA